rnacentral:rRNA from 1 species
UAUCAAAAACAUAACUAUAAGUUUUAUAUUUAUAGUGCUUUCUGCACAAUGUUAUUAUAAAUUGCCGCAGUACCCUGACUGUGCUAAGGUAGCAUAAUCAUUUGGCUUAUAAUUGAAGUCUAGUAUGAAUGAAGUUAUGGGGGUAAGCUGUUUCAAUCGAGUCGUUUUAAUUUACCUGAGUGGUGAAAAUGCCACUAUAAAAAUAAUAGACGAGAAGACCCUUGAAAUUUUCAAAACCCUUAUUCAAUAAUUCUUUUUGUUGGGGCGACAUGGUAGCAUUUAUUUAACCUACCUAAAACGAUGUGAAUCUGUUUGGCUGAAUAAUUAAAUUACUCUAGGGAUAACAGCAUAAUAUUAUAAAGUUUGUGACCUCGAUGUUGGACUAGGAAAAUAAUAGUUUAGAAGACUAUUAUGGUUGCUCUGUUCGAGCAUGUUUUCCUACGUGAUCUGA